rnacentral:rRNA from 1 species
GCUUAACACAUGCAAGUCGUGCGAGAAAGUAUCUUCGGAUAUGAGUAGAGCGGCGGACGGGUGAGUAACGCGUAGGAAUCUACCUAGUAGAAGGGGAUAGCCCGAGGAAACUCGGAUUAAUACCGUAUACCUCCUUCGGGAGAAAGAAGGCCUCUCUUUGAAGCUUUCGCUACUAGAUGAGCCUGCGUAAGAUUAGCUUGUUGGUGAGGUAAAGGCUCACCAAGGCUACGAUCUUUAGCGGGUCUGAGAGGACGAUCCGCCACAUUGGGACUGAGACACGGCCCAGACUCCUACGGGAGGCAGCAGUGGGGAAUAUUGGACAAUGGGCGAAAGCCUGAUCCAGCCAUACCGCGUGUGUGAAGAAGGCCCUAGGGUUGUAAAGCACUUUAAGUUGGGAAGAAAAGUUAUUGGUUAAUACCCAAUGACCGUGACAUUACCAUCAUAAUAAGGACCGGC